rnacentral:lncRNA from 10 species
UGGAUCUCGCUAUGUUGACCAGGCUGGUUUCAAACUCCUGGAUUCAAGGGGACCUCCCACCUUGGCCUCCCAAAGUACUGGGUGUGAGCCACCAUGCCUAGACACCUGCAUCGGGGGAGUGGCGCGGCAGCCGAAGAGAGAAUGUCCAGGCCCAGCGGUGCGCAGCCUCCCCGGACCUACGGCUGCGGCGCCCCAGGGAGUGUGGCAAGCCCAGGGGCCCCCUGGACAGAAGAGACUAGCACGAUCGCGGACCAGUGUGUCAGGGGCCACUCAGGAGAGGCCAGCAGAACUGGGCCAAAACAGGAACGUCCAGUCUCAGCAUCCGCAGGGGCAGGACACAGCAGGGACUGAGGUGCAGGGACCUGCGAGGAAAAAGAGGAAUUGACUGCAUUUUAUUUUAUUUGUUGAGGCAGAGUCUCGCCCUGUCGCCCAGGCUGGAGUGCAGAGUGCAUUGGCUCUAUCUCUGCUCAUGCAACCUCCACCUCCCGGUUUCAAGUGAUUCUCAUACCUCAGCCUCCAGAGUAGCUGCGAUUACAGGCGUGCCCGGCUAAUCUUUUUUUUUUUUUUUUUUUUGUAGACGGAGUUUCCCUUUUGUUGCUCAGGCUGGAGUGCAAUGGCGUGAUCUCAGCUCACUGCACCUCCGCCUCCCAGGUUCAAGCAAUUCUCCUGCCUUAGCC